rnacentral:rRNA from 1 species
UUUGACGGCCAUAGCGAAGGGGAAACACCCGGUCCCAUCCCGAACCCGGCAGUUAAGCCCUUCGCGUAUCGCCCGGUACUAUGUUGCGCGAGCACAUGGGAAAGGCGGUAUGCUGUCAAGC